GCCAGGUGUGGUGGCGGAUGCCUGUAAUCCCAGCUAUUCGGGAGGCUGAGGCAGGAGAAUCGCUUGAAUCUGGGAGGCAGAGGUUGCAGUGAGCCAAAAUCGUGCCACUGCACUCCAGCCUGGGUGAUAGAGCUGAUUCUGUCGCCAGGCUGGAGUGCGGUGGCACGAUCUCAGGUCACUGCAACUUCCAUCUCCCGGGUUCAAGCAAUUCCCCUGCCUCAG
ensembl:misc_RNA Metazoa_SRP Metazoan signal recognition particle RNA